rnacentral:rRNA from 1 species
UUGGUAUCUUAGUGGCGGACGGGUGAGUAACGCGUGGGUAACCUGCCUUACACUGGGGGAUAACACUUAGAAAUAGGUGCUAAUACCGCAUAACAGGGAAAGAUGCAUGUCUUUUCCUUGAAAACUCCGGUGGUGUAAGAUGGACCCGCGUCUGAUUAGCUGGUUGGCGGGGUAACGGCCCACCAAGGCGACGAUCAGUAGCCGGCCUGAGAGGGUGAACGGCCACAUUGGGACUGAGACACGGCCCAAACUCCUACGGAAGGCAGCAG